rnacentral:tRNA from 1 species
GGGCUGGGGCUCAGUGGUAGAGCUCUUGCCUUGCACGUGGGAGGCCCUGGGUUCGAUCCCCAGCAACACA